rnacentral:rRNA from 1 species
AGGCCCUUCGGGGUACACGAGCGGCGAACGGGUGAGUAACACGUGGUUGAUCUGCCUCGCACUUCGGGAUAAGCCUGGGAAACUGGGUCUAAUACCGGAUAUGACCUUUCAGUGCAUGCUGUUGGGUGGAAAGAUUUAUCGGUGCGAGAUGGGCCCGCGGCCUAUCAGCUUGUUGGCGGGGUAACGGCCCACCAAGGCGACGACGGGUAGCCGACCUGAGAGGGUGACCGGCCACACUGGGACUGAGACACGGCCCAGACUCCUACGGGAGGCAGCAGUGGGGAAUAUUGCACAAUGGGCGGAAGCCUGAUGCAGCGACGCCGCGUGAGGGAUGACGGCCUUCGGGUUGUAAACCUCUUUCGACAGGGACGAAGCGCAAGUGACGGUACCUGUAGAAGAAGCACCGGCCAACUACGUGCCAGCAGCCGCGGUAAUACGUAGGGUGCGAGCGUUGUCCGGAAUUACUGGGCGUAAAGAGCUUGUAGGCGGUUUGUCGCGUCGUCCGUGAAAACUUGGGGC